rnacentral:rRNA from 1 species
AUGACGGCAAUGAGCUCCCAUGCAGGGCUCUCCUUUGACGAUUUUUGCCUCAAACCACUGAUCUCUGAAUCGUACCUGCUUGAGUCGUCGCCGGCCACCGCCAAUCCCGAGCAAGUCGUCGUCGCCACCGCGGUGGAUAAGGCCUGGUGGCACAACGCCUUGCGCCGCCGCGCCCGUCCGCCGGCUCCCAAAUCCAGUGCUCGCCCUCUAAUCCAGACGAGCCCCGAACCCCUGCCCCCCUACUGUUACCCAGUUGCAGGAAUGACUGUCUUGAAACAACAGCCCACUAAUCCCACGAUCCACCCCUGUCAUCCGUCCCCCCGGCUCGAAGAAAAAAAAAACCCACGAGAGCACCACGCUCUCCCGUCGGUUGCUCAUAUCCUCCUCCCGCAUGACCUCUCGCCCCCUCCUCCUCCUCCUCCCGCCUCCUGCCUCUCCCUCCUCCGCUCCCUCCCGCUCCGCCUCCGCCUUGCCAUUCCCCGCCCCCGCCUCCCCACCCUCCUCUCCCUCGCCCUCCCCGGCAAAAACGGCAACGACGGCGGCGGUGGCAACAACAGCGGCGGCGGCGGGGAUGACGAAACAGGGGACGGCGGCGGCGAGUGGGGCGGCCACCGGGGGGAUGCGCUGUUCGUGCUGCCGCAGGCGGGGAGGAAGCUCUCCAGCCUGCCGGCGGACCUCGCCGUGGCCGUGGAGGGCGGCCGCGUCACGGGCGACAUCGUGCGGCGCUUCGCGGAGAUGGAGCGCUCGCCGCUGCUCCGUUGGCUGCUGGGCUUCAGAUGGUUCAGGGAGCGCCUCCUCGCCGACGACCUCUUCCUCGCCAAGCUCGCCAUGGAGAUGGGCGUCGGCAUGAUCGCCAAGGUCCGUGGGAUCGACAUGGAUGAAUCAUGA